AUUGAACGCUGGCGGCGGGCCUAACACAUGCAAGUCGAGCGAGCGGCGAACGGGGGAGUAAUGUCUGGGAAACUGCCUGAUGGAGGGGGAUCACUACGGGAAACGGUAGCUAAUACCGCAUACCAUCAGAUGUGCCCAGGUGGGAUUAGCUAGUGGGUGGGUGAACGGCUCACCUAGGCGCGGAUCCCUAGCAGGUCUGAGAGGAUGACCAGCCACACUGGAACUGAGACACGGUCCAGACUCCUACGGGAGGCAGCAGUGGGGAAUAUUCCGCAAUGGGCGCAAGCCUGAUGCAGCAAUGCCGCGUGUGUGAAGAAGGCCUUCGGGUUGUAAAGCACUUUCGGCGGGGAGGCGUUACCCGCAGAGGAAGCACCGGCUAACUCCGUGCCAGCAGCCGCGGUAAUUC
rnacentral:rRNA from 1 species